UUGAUCCUGGCUCAGAAUCAACGCUGGCGGCGCGCCUAACACAUGCAAGUCGAACGAGAAAGUGGAGCAAUCCAUGAGUACAGUGGCGUACGGGUGAGUUACACGUGGGUAAUCUACCUCUUAGUGAGGAAUAACCCUGGGAAACCGGGUCUAAUACCGCAUAAGCCUGAGAAGGGAAAGCAGCAAUGCGCUGAGAGAGUAGCCCGCGGCCGAUUAGCUAGUUGGUGGGGUAAGAGCCCACCAAGGCAGUGAUCGGUAGCCGGCCUGAGAGGGCACACGGCCACACUGGCACUGAAACAUGGGCCAGACUCCUACGGGAGGCAGCAGUGGGGAAUCUUGCACAAUGGGGUAAACCCUGAUGCAGCGACGCCGCGUGAGCGAUGAAGCCCUUCGGGGUGUUAAGCUCUUUCGUCAGGGAAGAUAGUGACGGUACCUGGAGAAGCAGCUGCUGCUAACUACGUGCCAGCAGCCGCGGUAAUU
rnacentral:rRNA from 1 species